AGGGCGCACGGUGAAUGCCCUGGCACUAGGAGCCGAUGAAGGACGCGAUAAGCUGCGAUAAGCUACAUGUAGGCGCACAUAGCCUGUGAUAUGUAGAUUUCCGAAUGGGGAAACCCAUCUAGCUUUGCUAGAUACUGUAUACUGAAUACAUAGGUAUAUGGAGGUACACCUGGGGAACUGAAACAUCUAAGUACCCAGAGGAAGAGAAAGAAAAUUCGAUUCCCUAAGUAGCGGCGAGCGAAAGGGGAAGAGCCCAAACCAGGAACUUGUUCCUGGGGUUGAGGAUAGAUCAUAACGCUUUGAUUUCUUUAGUUGAAGAGAGCUGGAAGGCUCCGCCAUAGAAGGUAAAAGCCCUGUAAGCGAAAAGGAAAGAAAAGUAGAUCUACUCCAGAGUACCACGAGACACGAGAAACCUUGUGGGAAGCUGGGAGGACCAUCUCCCAAGGCUAAAUACUACCUAGUGACCGAUAGUGAAGCAGUACCGUGAGGGAAAGGUGAAAAGAACCCCGGGAGGGGAGUGAAAUAGAAUCUGAAACCGUGUGCCUACAAUCGGUCGGAGCACAUUUAAGUGUGACGGCGUACUUUUUGUAGAACGGGCCAGCGAGUUACGAUGUGCAGCAAGGUUAAGCACUUAUGGUGUGGAGCCGAAGGGAAACCGAGUCUGAACAGGGCAACUAGUUGCAUAUUGUAGACCCGAAACCGGGUGACCUAUCCAUGGCCAGGAUGAAGCGGAAGUAAAAUUCCGUGGAGGUCCGAACCACGUUGGCGUUGAAAAGCCAUGGGAUGAGCUGUGGAUAGCGGAGAAAUUCCAAUCGAACUCGGAGAUAGCUGGUUCUCCUCGAAAUAGCUUUAGGGCUAGCGUCGGGUAAUUAAGUAGUGGAGGUAGAGCACUGAAUGGGCUAGGGGCUGACAACAGUUACUGAACCCUAUCAAACUCCGAAUGCCAUAUACUUGUACCCCGGCAGUCAGACUACGAAUGAUAAGAUCCGUGGUCAAAAGGGAAACAGCCCAGACCAUCAGCUAAGGUCCCAAAGUGUAAGUUAAGUGGGAAAGGAUGUGGGAUUUCUAAGACAACUAGGAUGUUGGCUUAGAAGCAGCCACUCAUUUAAAGAGUGCGUAAUAGCUCACUAGUCGAGAGAUCCUGCGCCGAAGAUGUAACGGGGCUAAAACUUACCACCGAAGCUAUGGAUGUAUACUUUGUAUACGUGGUAGAGGAGCUUUCUGUACAGGUUGAAGCCAUACCGUAAGGAGUGGUGGACAGUACAGAAGUGAGAAUGCUGGCAUAAGUAGCGAAAAACAAGUGAGAAUCUUGUUGACCGAAUAUCUAAGGUUUCCUGGGGAAGGCUCGUCCUCCCAGGGUUAGUCGGGACCUAAGCCAAGGCCGAAAGGCGUAGGUGAUGGACAACUGGUUGAUAUUCCAGUACCACCAUGAUGCGUUUGACAAAUGGGAUGACGCAGGAGGAUAGGAUGUGCGCACUAUUGGAUGUGCGUCUAAGCACUUAGGGUGUUAAGUAGGCAAAUCCGCUUAACGCGAAGCCUGAGGUGUGAUGGGGAGUCUUUUAGACGAAGUAUCCGAUUCCACGCUGCCAAGAAAAGUCUCUAUGGAGCAAAAUGGUGCCCGUACCGCAAACCGACACAGGUAGAUGAGGAGAGAAUCCUAAGGUCGUCGGAAGAAUUACUGCUAAGGAACUCGGCAAAUUGACCCCGUAACUUAGGGAGAAGGGGUGCCUACGAGAGUAGGCCGCAGUGAAUAGGCUCAAGCAACUGUUUAUCAAAAACACAGGUCUCUGCUAAAGCGUAAGCUGAUGUAUAGGGGCUGACGCCUGCCCGGUGCUGGAAGGUCAAGGAGACGAGUUAGCGCAAGCGAAGCUCUGAACUUACCGUAACUAUAACGGUCCUAAGGUAGCGAAAUUCCUUGUCGGGUAAGUUCCGACCCGCACGAAAGACAUAACGAUUUGGGCACUGUCUCAACAAGAGAUCCGGUGAAAUUGUAGUACCAGUGAAGAUGCUGGUUACCCGCGACAGGACGGAAAGACCCCGUGGAGCUUUACUGUAGGCUGACAUUGGAUUUUAGGAUUAUAUGUACAGGAUAGGUGGGAGACUAUGAAACUAGGGCACAAGUCUUAGUGGAGU
rnacentral:rRNA from 1 species